UACAGAGGGUGCAAGCGUUAAUCGGAAUUACUGGGCGUAAAGCGAGCGUAGGUGGCUUGAUAAGUCAGAUGUGAAAUCCCCGGGCUUAACCUGGGAACUGCAUCUGAUACUGUUGGGCUAGAGUAGGUGAGAGGGAGGUAGAAUUUCAGGUGUAGCGGUGAAAUGCGUAGAGAUCUGAAGGAAUACCGAUGGCGAAGGCAGCCUCCUGGCAUCAUACUGACACUGAGGUUCGAAAGCGUGGGUAGCAAACA
rnacentral:rRNA from 1 species